UCUGGCGGCUUGAAGAGGCGGUGCAGCCGAAGUCUCUGCCGAUACGAUCGUGGGAGGAUCCGCCAAUUCUAUACGGGCUCGAACUCGGCGGCUGGUCUUCUUAGUAACUUUCUUCUGCGCCUGCUUCGAUUGGCCAGCAAUCACGUCCACGGAAGGGGCAUCGUAGCCGAUAAGAGGGAAGGUGGUGUAUGGAUGAUGAUCUUCUAUUGGCCGGCCACUCCGGCUGCGUGUUGGGGGGACACGGUUCUCGGACUGAAGCAAUAGCAAGAUGUUAGUAUAUGUAUUCAACCGCGUUGAUAAAAGAGUAAAAAUUGGCUAAGGAAAAAU
rnacentral:lncRNA from 1 species